rnacentral:rRNA from 1 species
AUACGGAGGGGGUUAGCGUUGUUCGGAAUUACUGGGCGUAAAGCGCACGUAGGCGGAUUGGAAAGUUGGGGGUGAAAUCCCAGGGCUCAACCCUGGAACUGCCUCCAAAACUAACAGUCUAGAGUUCGAGAGAGGUGAGUGGAAUUCCAAGUGUAGAGGUGAAAUUCGUAGAUAUUUGGAGGAACACCAGUGGCGAAGGCGGCUCACUGGCUCGAUACUGACGCUGAGGUGCGAAAGCGUGGGGAGCGAACAGGAUUAGAAACCCUAGUAGUCC